ACUGCCGGUGACAAACCGGAGGAAGUGGGGAUGACGUCAAGUCCUCAUGGCCCUUAUAGGUGGGGCUACACACGUCAUACAAUGGCCGGUACAGAGGGUAGCCAACCCGCAGGGGGAGCCAAUACCCACAAAGCCGGUCGUAGUCCGGAUCGCAGUCUGCAACUCGACUGCGUGAAGUCGGAAUCGCUAGUAAUCGCGGAUCAGCAUGUCGCGGUGAAUACGUUCCCGGGCCUU
rnacentral:rRNA from 1 species